rnacentral:rRNA from 1 species
UACAGAGGGUGCGAGCGUUAAUCGGAAUUACUGGGCGUAAAGCGCGCGUAGGCGGCUUUGCAAGUCGGGUGUGAAAUCCCCAGGCUUAACCUGGGAACUGCAUUCGAGACUGCAUUGCUAGAGUAUGGGAGAGGGAAGUGGAAUUUCCGGUGUAGCGGUGAAAUGCGUAGAUAUCUGCAGGAACACCCGUGGCGAAAGCGGCGAGCUGGAUCACUACUGACGCUGAGGAACGAAAGCUAGGGGAGCAAACAGG